rnacentral:rRNA from 1 species
UACGUAGGGGGCAAGCGUUGUCCGGAAUCAUUGGGCGUAAAGCGCGUGUAGGCGGCCCGGUAAGUCCGCUGUGAAAGUCGGGGGCUCAACCCUCGAAUGCCGGUGGAUACUGUCGGGCUAGAGUGCGGGAGAGGCGAGUGGAAUUCCUGGUGUAGCGGUGAAAUGCGCAGAUAUCAGGAGGAACACCAGUGGCGGAAGGCGGCUCACUGGCCCGGUUCGACGCUGAGGUGCGAAAGCGUGGGGAGCAAACAGG